GAUGAACGCUGGCGGCGUGCCUAAUACAUGCAAGUCGAGCGAACAGAUGAGGAGCUUGCUCCUCUGACGUUAGCGGCGGACGGGUGAGUAACACGUGGAUAACCUACCUAUAAGACUGGGAUAACUUCGGGAAACCGGAGCUAAUACCGGAUAAUAUAUUGAACCGCAUGGUUCAAUAGUGAAAGACGGUUUUGCUGUCACUUAUAGAUGGAUCCGCGCCGCAUUAGCUAGUUGGUAAGGUAACGGCUUACCAAGGCAACGAUGCGUAGCCGACCUGAGAGGGUGAUUGGCCACACUGGAACUGAGACACGGUCCAGACUCCUACGGGAGGAAGCAGUAGGGAAUCUUCCGCAAUGGGCGAAAGCCUGACGGAGCAACGCCGCGUGAGUGAUGAAGGUCUUCGGAUCGUAAAACUCUGUUAUUAGGGAAGAACAAAUGUGUAAGUAACUAUGCACGUCUUGACGGUACCUAAUCAGAAAGCCACGGCUAACUACGUG
rnacentral:rRNA from 1 species